GGCCUAUUAGUUCAGUUGGUUAGAGUGUUGUGUUAAUAACGCGAAGGUCAUAGGUUUGAGACCUGUAUGAGCCA
rnacentral:tRNA from 1 species